UUUCUUCAUUUUGUGAGCGAGUGUGAGAGAAAGUUCCUCCUGCCCCAAUCAUGCCGGCCGGCCAUGGACUUUGUGAUGGUCGGGCACCCCAAAUCAAUUACACAUUUUUUUAUAAAAAAUAAUCAAUACAUACAAUGGUAUUAUUAACUACUAAUUCUAAUUAAUUUAUAUUUCUUUAAUUGCCUUUAGUAAUUAAAUUAAUGUUUAAUAUAAAAUAUUUUUUUAUUUUAAGUGAUUAAAUAACUAACUAAUAUAGCAAUCUAUUGCAAUAAUACUAAACUUAUUAUACAAUCUCUCAUUUUAAUGUACGUAAAUCUCUCAUUUUAAUGUAUGUAGAAAUGUACGUAUGUAUAUACAUACAUAUACAUGUGUAUAACUUUAAAAGUAAGCAUUAUUGAAGUUUAUUUAAAACUAACGUUGUCAAGUACGAUUGAGUUGAUUAUUUUAACCAACUCAAUCCAGCUCAAGUUGAUAGAUGAAACCAUAGAGAAAAACAUUUUCUAUCGUACGAUGGGUUUUGGAAUAUGAUGAGAGAAAGUUUCAUUCUGUUUUGGACUUUGCUUUAUAUAUAUAAAUUAAAUGUGUGAUUUUCGGGAUGAAUUUUGUAGGUUGGGAACAAAAUUAUUAAAAAAAGAAUUCAUGUGAGAGUUGAGCACGUGCAGCCUUCUCGAUGCACCGAGGAAUUUCGCUUGAGGAAGGUGAAGAAUGACGAGCUGAAGGCUGAAGCCAAGGCCAAAGGCACAGUCAUCUGCACUAAGAGGCAACCGGAAGGCCCCAAACCAGGGUUCAUGGUUGAAGGAGCUUUAAUGGAAACUGUGACUCCCAUUCCCUACAAUGUGGUUAAUGAUCUCAAGGGUGGCUAUUGAAAUUUUAUCCUCUUUGAACUUUUGCCUUGUUUUGUAGUUUCAUUUUUGUUUGAUAUUUGAACUGCUUGAAUAGUACAAUUUUAUCAUAUUAUGCUUCUAAAUUUUGGAUACGAAACUUAUGGAAUUAAAUUGUUUCUUAGUUUCUAGUUUUGGCCAUUAGCAUAAGGAAGUGUAGUUUUAGCUUAUUAAAAGUAAAUUUUGUUGCCUUAGGUUAUUCUUUCCAUUGUUUUCAUAUAUUCAUAUUUCUUAAUCACCAUCUAAUUUCUUUCCAUUGUUUUCACAUAUUCAUAUUUCUUAAUCUGAUUAGCGUUUUUAUUUCAAUAACAAAGGAGAGUUUUCCAAACUUUGAUAUUACCCAUGAUAGAGAAUGUUUUGAGUUGGAAUUAGGGCAAAUUAUAGCCUAAAUUAAAUGUUUACAAACAUUAGUCAUUUUAUCACUAAAAUUUCUUUGGACUUCAUUUGAUAUGUCAAUUUGUUUGGUUUAUGUUUUCAAAUAAUUAUUGACAUGAAAUUAAAGUAUGGAUAUAUAUCAAAAUUACUUACAGUAAAUGAACGAAUCAAGGUUGAUGAGAGUUUUUGCAAUCAUCCUUCAUCAUUUAUGUAUUCUUUCAAUGACUUUGAUUCUGCCACAAUCUAUUUUGUUCUUCUAAUUCUUGAAUAGCUUGUCAAUCUCAUUGGCGUGCAUUUCUCGCUCAUGAGCUAAUGCAGUUGAGGAAGAACUAUCAAUGGCGUGUUAGAACUUUGGCCUUUGAGUAGCCUAGUCGUCUAUCCAAAAUUGGCUUUGCAUAUUCGUGGGUUGGGACUAGAUAACAAGUAUUUGAUUCUGCCAUAAAAUUUAAUUGAAUAAUAAGUAAAUUGUGUGUAAACAAAAUGUAAAAACAAAAUGAAGACAACAAGCAUAGCAGAAAACUUACACGAGCAUCUACUCUCUUACAUCUUCACUCGAUCAGUGAGCGCUACUAUUGUGACUGUAGGGCUGCUUUGCUAUAGUAGCCCUAUUCUUUGAUGAUUGUAGAUGUAAAUAAGAUAAAAAUGGAACAUUAAAGAACAUUAAAAAUAUAAACUUUCGUUUGAGAACAUUUGUAAGUUUUAAGUCAUUUAAAAUUGUCACAUAUCCAACACACGAUUCUUCAAUCGCGGGUGGGUUGGCUUGUGCCUAUUCAGGAUCACUAAACUUUUUUAAAUGACGAGGGUUCUGCCCCUAAACUCUUUUCCCUAAACUCUUUCUAGGUGGUGAGAACCUGAUGCUCAACUAACGGAUUAGGUGUUGGAUAUGUGAAAUCCUCGAAAAAUUGCUACAAAAGGAAAGUAUAUUAAGAUUAUAUAUAUGUACGCGAUAGGUCAUUAACUUAUAUGAACGCUUAAUUUUAAAACUUACUCGUAUAGAGUCCUUCACGAGUUCGAUGUAAUAUGGGGUAACAUCGGUCCACUUAAGAAAGCAAUCAGGAAAAGUGUCUAGCGUUAGCACAACGCGAGCCAAUGGUACAACUGAAGCGAACAGUGUGUGGAAAGAUCAACUUAUCUUCCAGUGUAUGGAAAGAUCAACUUAUCUUGUCUUGGAACGAUCAAUAUGAGGAUCUUCCCAUUUUGUGCAACAUAUCACCACCUCCUCUUCUACACCACCACUAUUUAAUGGCAUGCCAUUCUCAAAACCUUUCUUUGCCGUUUGUUGUUCAUGUUCAAUCGUUGCUUGUAAAUCGUGCAACAUCCCCAACUUUUUCACUGUCUUCAUAAAAUAGAUUACUACUAUUUGAUUAAUGGAAAUGAUCAUUACUAGGUGUUUCAUCUAAUCUUUCUAUACCUUUAUAUAUACAAGUUGACUGAGACUCCAUAAUACACCAAUAUGUGUAGGAGAGGCAUAUUCUAUUCGUUAAUAAAUGUCUGUCCAUACCCUCUAAUUAAAGGCUCUCCAUGCAUGAUGGCGUCAGGAGAAGUUUGCAUCUUUUUUAAAUUUUAAACUUCUCUCAAUGUCGCUAUGCAUGUCAUGGAGAGUUCCCCUUUAAAAUUUCUUUUCUUAUUUUUUUCCUCAGACGUGUCUCUCUCCCUUAAGGUUCACCACCACUUGUUGUCUAUUAUCUGUCGCUUGCUGUCGCAGUCGACACUUGUGAGCUAUCCUUCGUCCCUCGUCGGUAAAUGUUUGUUUCGUUUUUUCUUCGUUUUGGUUUGAGUUUGAGAAAAAAAAAACACUAAAAAGGUAUGUUAUUUUAUUUUAUUGUGAAAGCCUUCUUUUAUAGUGUUCAUCUUUGCCAAUUUUACAUUAUGCAAAAAGAAGGUUUAUGAGAUAUUUUUUUUUAUUUAAUAAUUAUUUUUAAUUAUUAAUUAAGAAAAAAUAGCUAAAUACUCACAUUUGAGUGAAUUGUCAGAGAAUUUAAAUGAAGGUAAGAAUGACAAUCCAAUGAUAAAAUUUAACCUUCCAAAUUUAGUGAGUACUUGAACUUGUCUAACAAUCGUUAAAUUACACUUCUAGAACCUCAAAACUAUUUUGAAAAUUAUCGAAACACUAAUUUUUUUUUAAAAAAAAUGACUUAAUUUUUCUAUCAAAUACUUAAAAAUAUAUUUAAAAGACAGUAUUGUGUUUCAAUUUAAAUUAAAAUUAAACUCUACACCAUGAUAAUAAUUUUUUUGACCAUUUUUAUUUUCUAGAGGAAAAACUACAAAAAUAGUUAUAAAUGUAGCCAUUAGAUUUAAAAUAAUUAAAUUUUUAAUAAUAUAAUUUUUAAAAAUAUAACAUAAUAUGUUAAAUUCGAAAUGAUAGUAAUCAAAUAUUAGUCACUAUAUUUAUGAUUUUUUAAAAAUAUAGUUAUAUGACUAUUCGUAAAUUUGCUAACAGAUUACAUUUUGUGCUUUCUAUCUGGGCCCAGUUUAAUUUAUCCGGCCCAUUAAAGAAGCCAAUAAAAAACCUAGCCCUGGGAAUUAGGGUUUCUUCAUUUUGUGAGAGAGUGUGAGAGAAAGUUCCUGCUCCAAUCAUGCCGGCCGGCCAUGGACUUCGAUCACGUACCAGAGACCUCUUCGCCAGGCCUUUCAGGAAGAAGGGUUACAUUGCUUUGACUACCUACUUGAGGACGUACAAAAUCGGUGAUUAUGUGGAUAUCAAGGUGAACGGCGCCGUCCACAAGGGUAUGCCUCAUAAAUUUUACCAUGGUCGCACAGGUCAGGUAUGGAAUGUCACAAAGCGCGCCAUCGGUGUCGAGAUCAACAAGCAGGUUCGGGAUUCUUUUUUAAAAUCUGUUAUAGUUUUUAGAAUGUAUGUGAAUCUGGUGAUUUAGGGUAAUAGAUCGUGUUUGGUUUUGAUAGAAUCUUAAUUAGUUUUCGGACUCUGUUUUUCUUAUUAAACUUGUGAAUCUUAAUGUAUGUUCUAGUUUGAUGGGUUCUGGAAUCUGCUUUUUUUUUUUUUAAGUAUUAAACUUGUGAUUUUCGGAAUGAAUUUUUUGUAGGUCGGGAACAGAAUUAUUAAGAAAAGAAUUCAUGUGAGAGUGGAGCACAUGCAGCCUUCUCGAUGCACCGAGGAAUUUCGCUUGAGGAAGGUGAAGAAUGACGAGCUGAAGGCUGAAGCCAAGGCCAAAGGCACAGUCAUCUGCACUAAGAGGCAACCGGAAGGCCCCAAACCAGGGUUCAUGGUUGAAGGAGCUCUAAUGGAGACUGUGACUCCCAUUCCAUACGAUGUGGUUAAUGAUCUUAAAGGUGGCUAUUAGAAUUUUCACCUAUCUGAACUUUUGCUUUGCCUUGUUUUGUGAGUCUUAUUUUUGUUUGAUCUUUGCUGCGCAACUGCUCUAAUGGUACUGGCGUAGGUGGAUGGGUCCUUUGUGGUUCGACUUCUAAAGGAAAACAACAAAAGAGUAAUAGGAAAUAUAGUAAAAUUAUUUUUAAAAAGAUAUAGAGUUAUUUGUUCUCACUUUAGAGGUUCUUCAGUUAUUUAUCACUAUUUCAUUAUUAGAGAAGCAAACAAGAAAGACAUUGACUUGGAAACGUAUAAAUCUUUGUUGAAACGUUUGAUUUACUUCAAGAAAUAAAAUAAUAGAAUAGAAUAUCAAUUCAUCUUUUAUGUCAAUGUUAAACUUGGAAAAAAUAUGAAAAUAUGAUAAAAAUAUUGUGAUGUUGAUGGAGAUUUAAUAAUAUGUCACCUAACUCCUUUUGAAAUUCAAGAAGUAAACAAAGACUAAGCGUGAAUUAAAAUUAGGAUAUGCAUUUUUAUCGAUUUUUUUAAAAAUAAUAAGUAAAAUGCUACUUUUUCCAACUACUCUAUGGUAACAUUUAAAACAAUUUUAUGUUUUAAUUUUCAUAAUUAUGAAAGGCAUCAAACAAAUAAUUUAUUUAUCCUUCUUCCAUUGUAUAUUAACCAAUUUAGUCGAUUUGGAUGUAAAUUAUACGUAGGUAGGAUGCUCUAUGUUUCAAAUACUUAGUCUUUUACUCAAUUAUUUAUUAAGAGCAAUAUAUUAAUACAUUAACGAUGAAUUGAAAUGAUAAAUUUAGAAACAUUUUUUUUAAUACAAAUUGGAUCUAAGAUCUAGAACACAAAAUUUCUUGAUCUUCAAUCCACAUAUUGCAAUUGAAUUAAGCUCUUCAAAAUUUAGAAAAUCAUAUAUUUUUAAACCUCUCUUGAGUAAUUCACACUAAGAAAACCACAAAUUUGCAAAGGAGACUUGGAGGGAUUCCAAUAGUUUAUAACAAACUUUUAUACAAAUUUGAAGCAAGGAGACUUAGGAUUCCAAUAGUUUAUAACAAACUUUUAAUAAUAUAAAGUUAAGAUUUGAAUUAAAAAUUAGCAGUGACUCGAUAAAUUUUAAAUAACUUUUGAAGAUCUAUAAAAUUAAAAAUGAAGAGUAUCGAUUUGGUUUUUAAAAGUUAAGAUUGUGUUUUUUUUAAAAAUUAUUUUUGUUUAAAAAUUUUGAUUAAGAAUAUGAGAACUUUUCUAAAAAUGUAAAAAGUAUAGUCUAUGAUUAAUUUUUUUUUUAGAAAUAGAAACUAAAAUAAAAAGUAAUUUAUUUUGGAAAAAUAAAAACAAAUUCUUUGAAAAACAAAUAUUUUUCUAAGGUCAAUGGAUCAAAAUUUGUGAUUAAAUCUUUUUUUUAGGUUAAAAGCCCUUUGAAAAUGAAUAGUCAAUUAUACCCCCGGAUCUUCCGUCGUCGUUGGGUUUAACUCAAUUUCCCGUUUCUCGUCAGAACUGCAAACUGAAGACGGAACCCGCGAAUUCGUUGCCGAACAAAGAUCUUCAGUGCGAGCUUCAGUCUAAACAUGGGUACUAGAGAAGUUUACGAACAUAAGCUAAGAAGAGGCAAUCUCUACCAUGAACCCACUAUGAAUCCAGGGCUCGGAUCGCCUCGUUGCCCUCGCUGUUUUUCUCUUCUUAAACCCGACCAUGUAUUUGUCUCUUCUUCUUCUUCUAUUAAGCACCUUCUACUACUUACGUUUUUUAGUUUUGGGAUUCAUGUUUGAGUUUUACUGUGUUUUGAUUCAGGAUAAAAGUGAAUGGGCCAUCAAUCCUGUUCUCCACUGUGUUACUGCUGUGGUGAGUUGCCAUCGUUCCGAUCUUCGAUUUUAUUUGCUUUGAGAACACAUAAUUUAAUGGGUGCUUCUAGGUUUUUUGAUCGUGUAGAGUUAUAAUUGAACUCUAUGUUGUGUUUGUUUAAUUGGUUCGGUCUUUAGUAGUUCAUGAACGUUUGUUGAUCGAUGAUUUAGGAGUUUAAUUCAAUUCAGUUCUUGCUAUUAGCAAUUGGAGUAUUCUAUCUAACUCAAUUCAUGGUUUUCAAGGGACGUAAAAAAUUGUAGGAAUGAAGUUCGUGGUUUUCUUUUGGAAAAAUCUUUAUUUCUUCGCUAAUUCAAGAAGAAGGUUUAUGAGAUAUUUUAUUCUUAUUUAAUAAUUUUUUUAAUUAUUAAUUAAGAAAAAAUAGCUAAAUACUCACCUUUGAGUGAAUUGUGAGAGAAUUUAAAUGAAGGUAAGAAUGACAAUCCAAUGAUAAAAUUUAACCUUCCAAAUUUAGUGAGUACUUGAACUUGUCUAACAAUCGUUAACUUACACUUCUAGAACCUGAAAACUAUUUUGAAAAUUAUCGAAACACUAAUUUUUUUUAUAAAAAUGACUUAAUUUUUCUAUCAAAUACUUAAAAAUAUAUUUAAAAACAGUAUUGUGUUUCAAUUAAAUUAAAAUUAAACUCUACACCAUGAUAAUAAUUUUUUUGACCAUUUUUAUUUUCUAGAGGAAAAACUACAAAAAUAGUUAUAAAUGUAGCCAUUAGAUUUAAAAUAAUUAAAUUUUAAUAAUAUAAUUUUUAAAAAUAUAACAUAAUAUGUUAAAUUCGAAAUGAUAGUAAUCAAAUAUUAGUCACUAUAUUUAUGAUUUUUUAAAAAUAUAGUUAUAUGACUAUUCGUAAAUUUGCUAACAGAUUACAUUUUGUGCUUUCUAUCUGGGCCCAGUUUAAUUUAUCCGGCCCAUUAAAGAAGCCAAUAAAAAACCUAGCCCUGGGAAUUAGGGUUUCUUCAUUUUGUGAGAGAGUGUGAGAGAAAGUUCUUGCUCCAAUCAUGCCGGCCGGCCAUGGACUUCGAUCACGUACCAGAGACCUCUUCGCCAGGCCUUUCAGGAAGAAGGGUUACAUUGCUUUGACUACCUACUUGAGGACGUACAAAAUCGGUGAUUAUGUGGAUAUCAAGGUGAACGGCGCCGUCCACAAGGGUAUGCCUCAUAAAUUUUACCAUGGUCGCACAGGUCAGGUAUGGAAUGUCACAAAGCGCGCCAUCGGUGUCGAGAUCAACAAACAGGUUCGGGAUUCUUUUUUAAAAUCUGUUAUAGUUUUUAGAAUGUAUAUGAAUCUGGUGAUUUAGGGUAAUAGAUUGUGUUUGGUUUUGAUAGAAUCUUAAUUAGUUUUCGGACUCUGUUUUUCUUAUUAAACUUGUGAAUCUUACUGUAUGUUCUAGUUUGAUGGGUUCUGGAAUCUGCUUUUUUUUUUUUAAGUAUUAAACUUGUGAUUUUCGGAAUGAAUUUUUUGUAGGUCGGGAACAGAAUUAUUAAGAAAAGAAUUCAUGUGAGAGUGGAGCACGUGCAGCCUUCUCGAUGCACGGAGGAAUUUCGCUUGAGGAAGGUGAAGAAUGAUGAGCUGAAGGCUGAAGCCAAGGCCAAAGGCGCAGUCAUCUGCACCAAGAGGCAACCGGAAGGCCCCAAGCCAGGGUUCAUGGUUGAAGGAGCUCUGAUGGAGACUGUGACUCCCAUUCCAUACGAUGUGGUUAAUGAUCUCAAAGGUGGCUAUUAGAAUUUUCAUCUCUCUGAACUUCUGCCUUGUUUUGUUUUGUGAGUCUUAUUUUUGUUUGAUCUUUGCAACUGCUCUAAUGGUACAAUUUUCUCAGAUUAUGCUUCUAAAUUUUGGAAACGGAACUUGUAGAAUUGAAUUGUUUCUUAGUUUCUAGUUUUCGUCACAGUGUAGUUUUAGCUUAUUCAAAGAUGUUCUUGUUUCCAUUAUUUCCAUUGAACCCAUAUUUCUUAAACUAACUAAACUUUCAAUUCUUAAUCACCAUCCAAUUUUGAUAACAAAAAGAGUUUUUAAAACUAAUUUGAGUGUCAAACAUUCUUACUUUUUUGAUAUUACUCAUGACAGAAUGUUUAUCACUGAAAUUUAUUUGAUAUGUCAAUCAAUUGUGUUUUGGUUGCUUAUUGUUUGGUUCAUGUUCCCAAAUAUUGUUAUCGGUGAAUAAAACUACGAGGAGUUCGCUUGAGUAUAUGAUAGUAAACUAAUGAUUUUUAGUGAAAAAGUGGAGUAUUAAGGUUGGUAACUCUCGAACAUCCUUUGACCAUUAUAAUAAGUUCAUUGUUGUAGAUUUUAUCCAAUUGUAAUAUGUUACACCAUUUAUAAUUGUAUGGAACAGAUGUUCUUGAUUGAUUAUAUUUGAGAGAACCUUAAUAUGUAUGUGGAAUUUUUAAUUGUUUUAUUUAUGUUUUAUAAAUAAGGUUCAUUUCGUAAUCAACUAUCAAAUAAUUUGGAAUUUUAAAACCUACCCUUUUGAAAGUGUUAUUUUAUUUUUGUGUCAAAUUUAAUAACAUUUUCGUUAUUGAGAUAGAGAUUUGAAUUCUAACUAGUUCUUGUAGUUUUAUUUGCCAUAAAUUGCCGACACACAUGGUGGUGACUGUAAUAUCACAAAAUUCAUAACCAUUCAGGCCAUUGGCAUGUAGAAAAUUGAUUGUCCUGUAAGUUUAUGUGAUUUUUAAAUGAUGAUGUGAUUUCUCCAUUUAAGUUAGUAGCACAAAAAUUUGGGAAUUUUCAAUCUGUAAUUAUGAUCGGCUCGAGUUAUUGACUCUCUUUUGAAUAUGUUGGCUAGUUUUAAUCUUCUGUUUCAAAAUGAUUGAACGGUCUUUGUAUGUCUCAUAUUCCAAAGAUCAAACAUUUUAUAUGAUAAAAUUGGCUAGAAAUAGUGAAGGGUUUUUCGAUUUUCAAGUGUAUUCAUUGGAGUUUUGUCAUAGUAAUUUAGCUUCGAAAAAACUCAUUCAAGUGGUUAAAAAUGUGAUUGGACAUUCGAUUCUGCAUAUGAGAGUUUGAAAGAAAAUGUCGGUGCAGACUAAUUAGUGAUGUAUGGUAUAUGCCUUGGUUUCUAUCUAAUAUGAAGUUCGGAAGUUUGGUGAUUAUUAGAAAACACAUUCCCUUUUUUCGACUUUAAACACUUGUGGUCUUAGAUGAGAUUAGAAAUGUACAUCCUGAACUUUUGAAUAACUCUUAAUUCAAACUUUAUGGUGAUAAUACUAAAUAGAAAUAGUAUGAUCACUUAAGUAAACAACAAUUACUCAUGACUCAUUCUUUUGUUUUGAUUUUGGUUGGGUUGUAUCCACACGGAUGUUCUUUAUAUUCCAUUAGUUAUAAAAGAUUGCUGCUCCAUACAAUUUUCCAUCAUGACCAAUAUGUCUUUAUAUUCCAUUAGUUAUAAAAGAUUGCUGCUCCAUACAAUUUUCCAUCAUGACCAAUAAAUAAUGGUGAUCGGAACGAUAAUUAAAAUAAUAGAAAAACUAAAAUAGAAUAAAGUUUAGAUACCAAUCUAUAAAUUUAAAUCUAUUAUUUUAAUUUAAAUUUGUGAACCACCUCAAACAAUAUUUUGAACUUAAGCCUAAGGUUCACUUUAAUAUAUGGUCACCACAUAAACUUUAUUAAAGAAAAGAGAGGAAAAAGGAAAAAUUCCCAAAUACUUUUUUCCAAAAAAAAAGAAGAAGAAGAGGGAAAAUCCUUGUUUUAGUAGUGAAAGAACAUAGACGUUAUACUCCACUACGGCAAUCGCCGGAGCUGAAAUUCAGGGCAUGAGUCUUCGCCAGAGCAUACCCAGCAAAUCGGAAAAGCCCGCCGCCGCCGACCACUGGCAUCAUCUCUCACGGCGGACAUAAUCGUAUUCCGCCCCAAGAUGCUCAAAUAACUCCCAUUAUAUUUCCCUUCCACAAACGGCGAAAUUCAUACCAUUAAGAGCCCAAAUUCCGUUUUCGACGCCCCCGCGUAAAAUCCUUGAGCUUUUCCCAGCAAUUUGACCCAAUUUCCGGCCGUUCAGUCAGCGGAUCAUCCGUCAUCACCACAGCGCCAAACAGAGUCCGUGAGGCAUUGGACGACGGCGUGGAACGACAAUCAGCGCCGUGGGUUCCGGCGCGCUGACAUGUCAUGGAAGUAAAAGUGGAGAUGACUCAGCUUCUCCGCCGCGAAUGCCGAGCUUUUCCGGUGACAGAACGGUGUCGGAUGCGGCGAGGAGGGAGGUAAGGAAGAGAGAGAAAAAAGUGGCAGCUGCGACGGCGGUGGAGGGCAUGGGGAUGAGAAUUGGAGCCAUGGGAGUGGAGGAAUUUGAAAGUAUUUAAAACGGUGGAAUUUCAUUAAUAAUGAAUUGUGUUUGAUAUAAACGGCGAGAAGAAAGUAAAAGGUAUUGCGUAGGUGGAUGGGUCCUUUGUGGUUCGACUUCUAAAGGAAAACAACAAAAAGAAAUAAUAGGAUUUUUUAUAUUUACAAAAUAUAUUAAAAUUAUUUUAAAAGAUAUAGAGUUAUUUGUUCUCAGUUCUUCAUUUAUUUAUCACUAUUUCAUUAUAGAAGCAAACAGAAAGACAUUGCCUUCGAAACUUAUAAAUCUUUGUUGAAACGUUUGAUUUACUUCAAGAAAUAAAAUGCCUUCUUAUUGAAAUUUUCUAAUUCUACUUAGUAACUUUAAAAACUAAACUUAUUUCUCUCCUUUGCACAAACAUGAUUUUGAUUUCUAAAUUUUUUAUUUUAUGUUUUACUAUGAUAUAAUAGAAUAUCAAUUCAUCUUUUAUGUCAAUGUUAAACUUGGAAAAAAUAUGAAAAUAUGAUAAAAAUAUUGUGAUGUUGAUGGAGAUUUAAUAAUAUGUCACCUAGCUUCUUUUGAAAUUCAAGAAGUAAACAAACACGAAGCGUGAAUUAAAAUUAGGAUAUGCGUUUUUAUCAAUUUUUUGAAAUAAUAAAUAAAAUGCUACUUUUUCCAGCUACUCCAUUGGUAACAUUUAAAAACAAUUUUAUGUUUUAAUUUUCAUAAUUAUGAAAGGCAUCAAACAAAUAAUUUAUUUAUCCUUCUUCCAUUGUAUAUUAACCAAUUUGGUAGAUUUAGAUGUAAAUUAUACGUAGGUAGGAUGCUCUAUGUUUCAAAUACUUAGUCUUUUACUCAAUUAUUUAUUAAGAGCAAUGCAUUAAUACAUUAACGAUGAAUUGAAAUGAUAAAUUUAGAAACAAUUUUUAUAAUACAAAUUGGAUCUAAGAUCUAGAACACAAAAUUUCUUGAUCUUCAAUCACAUAUUGCAAUUGAUUAAGCUCUUCAAAAAUUUAAAAAAUCAUAUAUUUUUAAACCUCUCUUGAGUAAUUCACACUAAAAAAAACCAAGGAGACUUGGAGGGAUUCCAAUAGUUUAUAACAAACUUUUAUACAAAUUUGAAGCAAGGGAGACUUGGAGGAUUCCGAUAGUUUAUAACAAACUUUUAAUAAUAUAAAGUUAAGAUUUGAAUUAAAAAUGGCAGUAGACUCGAAAAAUCUUAAAUAACUUUUGAAGAUCUAUAAAUUAAAAAUGAAGAGUAUCGAUUUGGUUUUUAAAAAUUAAGUUUAUAAAUACUACUUUUUAUUCGUAAAUUUAUUUAUUUAUCCAACUCAAAUUUAGGUAAGAUUGUGUUUUUUUAAAAUUUAUUUUGUUUAAAAUUUUGAUUAAGAAUAUGAGAACUUUUCUAAAAAUGUAAAAAGUAUACUCUAUGAUUAAUUUUUUCAGAAAUAGAAACUAAAAUAAAAAGUAAUUUAUUUUAGAAAAUAAAAACAAAUUAUUUGAAAAACAAAUAUUUUUCUGAGGUCAAUGGAUCAAAAUUUGUGAUUAAAUCUUUUUUUUAGGUUAAAAACCCUUUGAAAAUGAAUGGUCAAUUAUACCCCCGGAUCUUCGUCGUCGUUGGUUAACUCAAUUUCCCGUUCUCUCAGAACUGCAAACUGAAGACGGAACCGCGAAUUCGUUGCCGAACAAAGAUCUUCAGUGCGAGCUUCAGUCUAGACAUGGGUACUAGAGAAGUUUACGAACAGAAGCUAAGAAGAGGCAAUCUCUACCAUGAACCCACUAUGAAUCCAGGGCUCGGAUCGCCUCGUUGCCCUCGCUGUUUUUCUCUUCUUAAACCCGACCCUGUAUUUGUCUCUUCUUCUUCUUCUAUUAAGCACCUUCUACUACUUAGUUUUUAGUUUUGGGAUUCAUGUUUGAGUUUUACUGUGUUUUGAUUCAGGAUAAAAGUGAAUGGGCCAUCAAUCCUGUUCUCCACGGUGUUACUGCUGUGGUGAGUUGCCAUCGUUCCGAUCUUCGAUUUUAUUUGCUUUGAGAACACAUAAUUUAAUGGGUGCUUCUAGGUUUUUUGAUCGUGUAGAGUUAUAAUUGAACUCUAUGUUGUGUUUGUUUAAUUGGUUCGGUCUUGAGUAGUUCAUGAACGUUUGUUGAUCGAUGAUUUAGGAGUUUAAUUCAAUUCAGUUCUUGCUAUUAGCAAUUGGAGUAUUCUAUCUAACUCAAUUCAUGGUUUUCAAGGGACGUAAAAAAUUGUAGGAAUGAAGUUCGUGGUUUUCUUUUGGAAAAAUCUUUAUUUCUUCGCUAAUUCAAAAAGAAGGUUAUGAGAUAUUUUAUUCUUAUUUAAUAAUUUUUUUUAAUUAUUAAUUAAGAAAAAAUAGCUAAAUACUCACCUUUGAGUGAAUUGUCAGAGAAUUUAAAUGAAGGUAAGAAUGACAAUCCAAUGAUAAAAUUUAACCUUCCAAAUUUAGUGAGUACUUGAACUUGUCUAACAAUAGUUAAAUUAUAGAUCUAGAACCUAAAACUAUUUUGGAAAAUUAUCGAAACAUCAAUUUUUUUUUUAAAAUGACUUAAUUUUUGUAUCAAAUACUUAAAAAUAUAUUCAAAACACAGUAUUGUGUUUCAAUUAAAUUAAAAUUAAACUCUACACAUGAUAAUAAUUUUUUUGACCAUUUUUAUUUUCUGAGGAAAAACUACAAAAAUAGUUAUAAAUGUAGCCAUUAGAUUUAAAAUAAUUAAAUUUUAUAAUAAUAUAAUUUUUAAAAAUAUAACAUAAUAUGUUAAGUUCGAAAUGAUAGUAAUCAAAUAUUAGUCACUAUAUUUAUGAUUUUUUAAAAAUAUAGUUAUAUGACUAUUCGUAAAUUUGCUAACAGAUUACAUUUUGUGCUUUCUAUCUGGGCCCAGUUUAAUUUAUCCGGCCCAUUAAAGAAGCCAAUAAAAAACCUAGCCUCGAAUUAGGGUUUCUUCAUUUUGUGAGAGAGUGUGAGAGAAAGUUCUGCUCCAAUCAUGCCGGCCGGCCAUGGACUUCGAUCACGUACCAGAGACCUCUCGCCAGGCUUUCAGGAAGAAGGGUUACAUUGCUUUGACUACCUACUUGAGGACGUACAAAAUCGGUGAUUAUGUGGAUAUCAAGGUGAACGGCGCGUCCACAAGGGUAUGCCUCAUAAAUUUUACCAUGGUGCCACAGGUCAGGUAUGGAAUGUCACAAAGCGCGCCAUCGGUGUCGAGAUCAAACAACAGGUUCGGGAUUCUUUUUUAAAAUCUGUUAUAGUUUUUAGAAUGUAUAUGAAUCUGGUGAUUUAGGGUAAUAGAUUGUGUUUGGUUUUGAUAGAAUCUUAAUUAGUUUUCGGACUCUGUUUUUCUUAUUAAAACUUGUGAAUCUUAAUGUAUGUUCUAGUUUGAUGGGUUCUGGAAUCUGCUUUUUUUUUUUUUUUUAGUAUUAAACUUGUGAUUUUGGGAAUGAAUUUUUUGUAGGUCGGGAACAGAAUUAUUAAGAAAAGAAUUCAUGUGAGAGUGGAGCACGUGCAGCCUUCUCGAUGCACGGAGGAAUUUCGCUUGAGGAAGGUGAAGAAUGAUGAGCUGAAGGCUGAAGCCAAGGCCAAAGGCGCAGUCAUCUGCACCAAGAGGCAACCGGAAGGCCCCAAACCAGGGUUCAUGGUUGAAGGAGCUCUGAUGGAGACUGUGACUCCCAUUCCAUACGAUGUGGUUAAUGAUCUCAAAGGUGGCUAUUAGAAUUUUCAUCUCUUUGAACUUUUGCCUUGUUUUGUGAGUCUUAUUUUUGUUUGAUCUUUGCAACUGCUCUAAUGUACAAUUUCUCAGAUUAUGCUUCUAAAUUUUGGAAACAGAACUUAUAGAAUUGAAUUGUUUCUUAGUUUCUAGUUUUCGUCACCCUGUAGUUUUAGUUUAUUCAAAGAUGUUCUUGUUUCGAUUAUUUCCAUUGAACCAUAUUUCUUAAACUAACUAAUCUUUCUAUUCUUAAUCACCAUCCAAUUUUGAUAACAAAAAGAGUUUUUAAAACUAAUUUGAGUUUCAAACAUUCUUACUUUUUUGAUAUUACUAAUGACAGAAUGUUUAUCACUGAAAUUUAUUUGAUAUGUCAAUCAAUUGUGUUUUGGUUGCUUAUUGUUUGGUUUAUGUUCCCAAAUAUUGUUAUCGGUGAAUAAAACUACGAGGAGUUCGCUUGAGUAUAUGAUAGUAAACUAAUGAUUUUUAGUGAAAAAGUGGAGUAUUAAGGUUGGUAACUCUCGAACAUCCUUUGACCAUUAUAAUAAGUUCAUUGUUGUAGAUUUUAUCCAAUUGUAAUAUGUUACACCAUUUAUAAUUGUAUGGAACAGAUGUUCUUGAUUGAUUAUAUUUGAGAGAACCUUAAUAUGUAUGUGGAAUUUUAAUUGUUUUAUUUAUGUUUUAUAAAUAAGGUUCAUUUCGUAAUCAACUAUCAAUAUAAUUUGGAAUUUUAAAACCUACCCUUUUGAAAGUGUUAUUUUAUUUUUGUGUCAAAUUUAAUAACAUUUUCGUUAUUGAGAUAGAGAUUUGAAUUCUAACUAGUUCUUGUAGUUUUAUUUGCCAUAAAUUGCCGACACAUGUGGUGUGACUGUAAUAUCACAAAAUUCAUAACCAUUCAGGCCAUUGGCAUGUAGAAAAUUGAUUGUCCUGUAAGUUAUGUGAUUUUUAAAUGAUGAUGUGAUUUCUCCAUUUAAGUUAGUAGCACAAAAAUUUGGGAAUUUUCAAUCUGUAAUUAUGAUCGGCUCGAGUUAUUGACUCUCUUUUGAAUAUGUUGGCUAGUUUUAAUCUUCUGUUUCAAAAUGAUUGAACGGUCUUUGUAUGUCUCAUAUUCAAAGAUCAAACAUUUUAUAUGAUAAAUUGCUAGAAAUAGUGAAGGGUUUUUCGAUUUUCAAGUGUAUUCAUUGGAGUUUUGUCAUAGUAAUUUAGCUUCGAAAAAACUCAUUCAAGUGGUUAAAAAUGUGAUUGGACAUUCGAUUCUGCAUAUGAGAGUUUUGAAAGAAAAUGUCGGUGCAGACUAAUUAGUGAUGUAUGGUAUGCCUUGGUUUCUAUCUAAUAUGAAGUUCGGAAGUUUGGUGAUUAUUAGAAAACACAUUCCCUUUUUUCGACUUUAAACACUUGUGGUCUUAGAUGAGAUUAGAAAUGUACAUCCUGAACUUUUGAAUAACUCUUAAUUCAAACUUUAUGGUGAUAAUACUAAAUAGAAAUAGUAUGAUCACUUUAAGUAACAACAAUUACUCAUGACUCAUUCUUUUUGUUUUGAUUUUGGUUGGGUUGUAUCCACACGGAUGUUCUUUAUAUUCCAUUAGUUAUAAAAGAUUGCUGCUCCAUACAAUUUUCCAUCAUGACCAUAUGUUCUUUAUAUUCCAUUAGUUAUAAAAGAUUGCUGCUCAUACAAUUUUCCAUCAUGACCAAUAAAUAAUGGUGAUCGGAACGAUAAUUAAAAUAAUAGAAAAACUAAAAUAGAAUAAAGUUUAGAUACCAAAUCUAUAAAUUUAAAUUCUAUUAUUUAAUUUAAAUUUUGUGAACCACUCAAACAAUAUUUUGAACUUAAGCCUAAGGUUCACUUUAAUAUUAUGGUCACCACAUAAACUUUAUUAAAGAAAAAGAGAGGAAAAAGGAAAAAUUCCCAAAUACUUUUUCUCAAAAAAAAGAAGAAGAAGAAGGGAAAAUCCUUUGUUUAGUAGUGAAAGACAUAGACGUUAUACUCCACUACGGCAUCGCCGAGCUGAAAUUCAGGGCAUGAGUCUUCGCCGAGCAUACCCACGAGCAAAUCGGAAAAGCCCGCCGCCGCCGACCACUGGCAUCUCUCUCACGGCGGACAUAAUCGUAUUCCGCCCAAGAUGCUCAAUAACUCCCAUUAUAUUUCCCUUCCACAAACGCGAAAUUCAUUACCAUUAAGAGCCCAAAUUCCGUUUUCGACGCCCCGCGUAAAAUCCUUGAGCUUUUCCCAGCAAUUUUGACCCAAUUUCCGGCCCGUUCAGUCAGCGGAUCAUCCGUCAUCACCACAGCGCCAAACAGAGUCCGUGAGGCAUUGGACGACGGCGGUGGAACGACAAUCAGCGCCGUGGGGUUCCGGCCGCUGACGAUGUCAUGAAGUAAAAGUGGAGAUGACUCAGCUUCUCCCGCCGCCGAAUGCCGAGCUUUUCCGGUGACAGAACGGUGUCGGAUGCGGCGAGGAGGGAGGUAAGGAAGAGAGAGAAAAAAGUGGCAGCUGCGACGGCGGUGAGGGCAUGGGGAUGAGAAUUGGAAGCCAUGGGAGUGGAGGAAUUUGAAAGUAUUUAAAACGGUGGAAUUUCAUUAAUAAUGAAUUGUGUUUGAUAUUAAACGGCGAGAAGAAAAGUAAAAGGUAUUGGCGUAGGUGGAUGGGUCCUUUGUGGUUCGACUUCUAAAGGAAACAACAAAAAGAAAUAAUAAUUUUAUAUUUACAAAAUAUAUUAAAAUUAUUUUUAAAAGAUAUAGAGUUAUUUGUUCUCAGUUCUUCAUUUAUUUAUCACUAUUUCAUUAUAGAAGCAAACAAGAAAGACAUUGCCUUCGAAACUUAUAAAUCUUUGUUGAAACGUUUGAUUUACUUCAAGAAAUAAAAUGCCUUCUUAUUGAAAUUUUCUAAUUCUACUUAGUAACUUUAAAAAACUAAACUUAUUUCUCUCCUUUGCACAACAUGAUUUUGAUUUUCUAAAUUUUUUAUUUUAUGUUUUACUAUGAUAUAAUAGAAUAUCAAUUCAUCUUUUAUGUCAAUGUUAAACUUGAAAAAUAUGAAAAAUUGAUAAAAUAUUGUGAUGUUGAUGGAGAUUAAUAAUAUGUCACCUAGCUUCUUUUGAAAUUCAAGAAGUAAACAAACACGAAGCCGCGUGAAUUAAAAUUAGGAUAUGCGUGUUGAAUAAGAAAUUUUGAGACCAAUCACAAGUUGCCACAUCAUUUAUUAAGUUAAUGAUGAAAAGUACAAAUAAUUAAAUUUGGACUAAUUAAAAUUGACACAUGCCCAAAUUAAAGAGUUAAAAUAAAUAAAUUGGUCAUUCUAAUAAUGCCACAUGUUUUCAUAUUAAUCGUUGAUUAAGUUAAUCAUUUUAGUUCAAUUAAGCCAAAAAAAAUAAGCUUAAUUGAGCCCAAAGACUAAAUAUAACUAAGUCCAUAUGGUUGAGCCCAUGGGUCUGGUCCAUGGACCAACCAAGUUCAAACCCAUAAAGCCCACCAGUGAACUCUAUAAAUAGAGGAAUUCUCCUCAUUUGCAGGGGUUGGAAAAUUUUGACUCUUGAAGAUCUAGAGAGAAUUCUUCCAAAAGCUAGAAGACUCCCUAACUUCUGAAGUUGACCACCCUCGAAGAUUGAAGCUGUUUUGAAGAUACAAACUUUCUUCCAAGACUCCAACUUCAAGACAUCACGUGCUCCGCUUCCUCAAAUCAAGCGUAAGCAUUCAACCAACUUGAAGAAAUCACGUGCUCCGCUUCUCCAAAUCAAGCGUAGACGUUCAACAAACUUCAAGACAUCACGUGCUCCGCUUCUCCAAAUCAAGCGUAGACGUUCAACAAACUUCAAGAACAUCACGUGCUCCGCUUCCUCAAAUCAAGCGUAAGCAUUCAACCAACUUGAAGAAAUCACGUGCUCCGCUUCUAAAUCAAGCGUAGACGUUCAACAAACUUCAAGAACAUCACGUGCUCCGCUUCUCCAAAUCAAGCGUAGACGUUCAACAAACUUCAAGAACAUCACGUGCUCCGCUUCCUCCAAAUCAAGCGUAGACAUACAGUUGAGAGAGAAUCAGAGGAUCAAAUUCUAGAGAUUGAACCGCAUCGCAUCAAAUCAACAAAAAUACAACAUCAACCAAGUUAAGUCCACGAAUUAAAUUUCUCCGGAAAUCUCGUGCGAACAAAUUGGCACGCCCAGUGGACCAUCUCUACCUCUCAUCUCUCUCUCAUCAUCUAGAUCUACAAGCAAAUCAAUGGCAUCAAAGAAAGCUGCAUCCAAAUCUUCAGCUGCAAGCGACACCUACACGGGACCUAUCACCCGUAGUCGUUCCAGGGGAUCAUCCAAGGGCAAGCCAAGGUUCCGCCAUCGCGCAGAGCAUCCUGAAGCAAUUGAUGGAAUCUCCUAAAGCUGGAAUUGUCAUCAAGGAAAAUCCUCUAUAUAACGAUUAUGAUUCUGCCUCUAGCAGGUCACUGAAAGAAGCACACCCAGAUGUGAUGUUGACGAUGAUCCGUCAGAUCGAGACUGCCAUGGCGGAGAUGGAGAGAAAAAUUAAUCUCCUGAUGAAGGUUGUUGAUGAACGAGACCACGAAAUUGCAGCUUUAAAGGAGCAGAUGCAGACUCGUGAAACUGCUGAAUCGAGUCAAACUCCUGUCGUUAAAGUUGAUGACAAAGGGAAGAACGUGUACAAGAAAAUCAGCCACAACAACAAUCAACUUCUGUGGCUUCUCUCUCGGUUCAACAAUUACAAGAUAUGAUCACAAGCUCCAUCAGAGCACAAUAUGGAGGCCCAUCUCAGACUUCUUUCAUGUACUCUAAACCAUACACCAAAAGAAUCGACAACUUGAGAAUGCCGCUUGGAUAUCAGCCUCCAAAAUUCCAGCAGUUUGACGGAAAGGGCAAUCCAAAACAGCACGUUGCUCACUUCGUCGAAACAUGUGAGAAUGCAGGAUCAAGAGGAGAUCAACUAGUCAGACAAUUUGUUCGAAGCUUGAAAGGAAAUGCUUUUGAAUGGUAUACUGAUCUGGAGCCAGAAAGCAUUGAGAGUUGGGAACAACUAGAAAAGGAGUUUCUCAAUCGCUUCUACAGCACCAGGCGUACUGUAAGCAUGAUGGAGCUUACAAAUACGAAACAAAGAAAGGGAGAACCAGUCAUCGACUACAUCAAUAGAUGGAGAGCUCUAAGUCUUGACUGUAAAGAUCGGCUCACCGAACUGUCGGCUGUAGAAAUGUGCACCCAAGGCAUGCACUGGGGACUCCUCUACAUUUUGCAGGGAAUAAAGCCCCGCACAUUUGAAGAACUGGCAACUCGAGCUCAUGAUAUGGAGUUGAGCAUCGCCAGUAGAGGAACUAAAGAUUUUCUUGUUCCUGAAGUAAAGAAAGAUAAGAAAGAGAUGAAAGGUGCUGAAAAGAUAGUGAAAAGCACCACGAAAGAAUCUAUGGUCGUAACAAACCCCGCUGAAAUUCUCCAAAGGAAAGGAAGCGAGGGUUGAAAAGAAGGAUGAUGGAAGCGAAAGGCGACGUCUGACUUUAAAAGAAAGGCAGGAAAAAGUUUACCCAUUUCCUGAUUCAGAUAUCGCUGACAUGCUAGAGCAACUACUAGAGAAGCAGCUGAUCCAGCUGCCAGAAUGUAAACGACCUGAGCAAGCAGGAAAGGUAGAUGAUCCCAAUUACUGCAAGUAUCAUCGGGUCAUCAGUCAUCCAGUAGAGAAAUGCUUCGUGCUGAAGGAGCUAAUUCUAAGGUUGGCUCGUGAGAAAAGGAUGAGCUAGAUUUGGAGGAAGUAGCUCAAACAAACCACGCUGAAGUGACGAUAAUGUCUGAGGCUUCUUUCGUCGAGAUUGAUUUUUGAGCAAAGGAAAAGCUUGGUCCAGUUCGGGACCUUUGAGCCUAUAGUUGUCCAUUCUUUCAGGAAAUCUCAUACGAGGAUCCUCAAGGAGAGAAAAGACCAAUUGAAGAAGACGAUGAAGGGUGGAUAGUGGUGACCCACCGAAAGAAAAGACAGUCGAUCCCGACCCAAAGAGAGUCUCGCUCUUACCAAAACUAUAGAAGAGGAAAUAAGACUCAAAAGAAUAAGAAAAAGAAGAAGACUCAUAAGCUUAAGCUCGUACAUAAUGAAGACAUGAAUUUCUCUCGACCUCAACGCUUAGUGACCUUGGCAGACUUCCUUCCAAAAAGCUUCCUUUGUGAUCAUCAGGAUGAAGACCCAGAAGUCGUUGCGUGUCAUGCUAUCAACACAACGGAGGAAGAAAUAAUCCCUCCAAGAUCACUAGAAGGAGAGGGAGUAUCAAAAGACCUUUCAAGGUUUAAUGUAGAGGAUCUAUUAUCACUUCCUCAAGAGACCAAAACCAUCCUUAUUGAUGCAUUGCUAAAUUCAAGAGCAUCAAGUUCGAGUACUCCGACUAUGACAUAUGAGAGUGGUUCUUAUUGUAUGUCUAUAGACUUCUCAGAUGAGGAUUUGUUGUUGGGAUCUAAACUUCAUAAUAGACCUUUGUAUGUUUCUGGAUACGUUCGAGAACAGAGAGUCGAUCGAAUCCUCAUUGAUAAUGGCUCAGCUGUCAACAUAAUGCCAAAGUCGACUAUGUGGCAAUUAGGCAUCUUGAUGGACGAGCUCUCAAAUAGCAAGCUAGUAAUUCAAGGUUUUAACCAAGGUAGCCAAAGAGCAAUAGGCAUGAUACGGUUAGAACUCAUAAUUGGCGACCUAAAGGCCAGUGCAUUGUUUCAUGUCAUAGACUCAAGGACUACUUACAAGUUGUUACUAGGGCGUCCUUGGAUUCAUGGAACGGAAACGGAGUAGUAACUUCAACACUGCAUCAGUGCUUCAAAUUUUAUCAGGACGGUGUAAAGAAGGUUGAAGCCGACUCUAAUCCAUUCUCAGAAGCUGAGUCUCACUUCGCAGAUGCAAAGUUUUAUUCAAAGAAUAAUAAUAUUUUAGAAGUUUUGCCUGCAGAAACCCCUCUUACAAAAGGAGAAGAUAAUUCACAACUGAAAUCACUCGCAACCACAGAACCACAUGAAAGUGCGAGAACCUUUAACUCUGGAAAGGGUGAAACAUACACUCGCAACACAAAGGGUAUGAUCUUGAAGAAUGAAAAUGCUGCAAACACACCAGUUUUGCGUUAUGUCCCUCUGUCAAGGCGCAAGAAAGGCGAAUCACCAUUCAUGGAGUCUCCAAAAGGUUUGAAAGUUGUUGGGACAUCGAAAUCAUAAAAGAAAGCUUCACUACACCACUAACUAAGAUAGCGAAGCAGGAGGUAAAGGUAGAUCUGGUGGAAGCAAACUUGCCCCAAAGGCGAACGAAAGACGGAUUCGACCCCAAGGCUUACAAAUUGAUGGCGAAACAGGUUAUGACUUCACAGCUCACACCGAGUUUAAAAAGCUUAAAUUCAUGACCGACCUGGCUCUCCUCAACUCAAAAGAAGCUUCUACGGGAAGGACAUUCUAUACCCGUGUCGAGAAAAGGACUCGGAUACAAGUCGCCAGAACCGAUCCGUAUAACUAAAAAGGGGAAGGAAAAAGUGGUUGACAUCAAUCAUAUAACUAUAGAGGAGGAUGACAAUACUGACGUAAAAGAAGGUGAUAAUCAGAGAAUCUCAGUAUUUGAUCGAAUUAGACCAUCUGUUGCACGUCCCGUAGUAUUUGAAAGGCUAAGCAUGACAGAGGCAGAAAGAGAAAGGCUCCAGUCAGUACCAAACCUUGAGAGACAUUCGGUCUUUCGAAGGCUAACUACGACUCCCAUAAAGGAAGAAAGCACAUGCCAUGCCUUGACAACUACAAGACCAUCAGCCUUUGAAAGGCUAGGUGUGUCUAAAAAGAAAAAUGUACAAGCACCCCGUGCUCCGAUUUUUAAUCAUCUCGGGGAUAAAGGAUCACACGACAACAUUGAUUCCAACAUAGAUACAAAGAAGAAGGAACCAAUGUCUCGUGUGAAAGUUUGGCGUCGAAUUAAGCAUACAGAUGUCGAUAAUUAUCGUAGUAAGAAGUUUCCUUGCGAGACAAAGGAAAAUGGAGAAAUUCAUAGCAACGUUCCUUCUCGCAUGAAAAGAAAAACUUUUGUUACUCUCAAUACAAGUCAAGGUUCGUUAAAGGUAAAAAGACAUGAUGUUAUACUAACGAAUCCUGAAAAAGAAGGGUCGGAACAAGGGAAGGUGAAACUUCAUGUCAUCACAUCACCAUUAUUGAGGAAUCAGAGACUGGAACUCAUGAAGAAGACGCAGAAAAUGCCCCACAAAGUUUAGAGGAUGGUGGUCAAUCUACUGUAGACGAGCUAAAAGAGGUGAACCUUGGUACAAUAGAGGAACCACGUCGACUUUCAUUAGUGCGUCCCUCUCUAAUGAAGAGGUGGAUAAAUAUAUGAGUUUGCUCACCGAAUACAGGGACAUCUUUGCGUGGUCAUACAAGGAGAUGCCAGGACUUGACCCAAAAGUAGCAGUCCAUCAUCUUGCAAUUAAACCCGGAUAUCGACCGAUUAAACAAGCACAACGACGUUUUCGACCGGAGCUUAUCCCUCAAAUCGAGGUGGAAGUCAACAAGUUGAUCGAAGCAGGAUUCAUUCGCGAGGUCAAAUAUCCAACGUGGAUAGCAAACAUUGUCCCUGUUAGAAAAAAAAAUGGACAACUUCGCGUUUGUGUAGACUUUCGCGAUCUGAAUAAUGCAUGCCCUAAAGAUGAUUUUCCCUUGCCCAUCACCGAAAUCAUGGUUGAUGCAACUACUGGACACGAGGCGUUGUCGUUUAUGGAUGGGUCGUCUGGAUAUAAUCAAAUACGGAUGGCCCUCUCAGAUGAAGAAAUGACAGCUUUCAGAACUCCAAAGGGAAUAUACUGUUACAAGGUGAUGCCCUUUGGAUUGAAAAAUGCCGGCGCUACUUAUCAACGUGCCAUGCAGAAAGUGUUUGAUGAUAUGUUGCACAGGUAUGUUGAAUGUUAUGUUGAUGAUCUUGUAGUCAAAACAAAGAGACGACAAGACCAUUUGAAGGAUCUAAAAGUCGUGUUUGAUCGCUUGCGAAAAUAUCAGCUAAGGAUGAACCCUCUCAAGUGUGCGUUUGGUGUAACUUCAGGAAAAUUUCUUGGCUUCAUUGUAAGGCAUCGAGGGAUCGAAAUAGACCAGUCCAAGAUUGAUGCCAUUCAGAAGAUGUCAAGACCUAAAAGUUUGCAUGACCUAAGAAGUCUCCAAGAGAUGGCUUACAUCCGAAGGUUCAUCUCUAACUUGGCCGGUCGGUGUCAACCUUUUCAAAAGUUGAUGAGAAAAGGAGAAAAUUUUGUGUGGGAUGAAGCUUGUCAGAACGCUUUUGAUAGCAUAAAGAAAUACUUGCUUACUCCCCAGUGCUGGGAGCUCCAGUACCUGACAAACCACUAAUAUUGUACAUUGCUGCACAAGAAAGGUCCUUAGGAGCAUUACUGGCACAAGAAGAGGUAAAGGGAAAGGAGCGUUCUCUCUACUAUCUAAGCAGAACAUUAAUUGGGGCUGAAGUUAACUAUUCUCCUAUCGAAAAGAUGUGUCUUGCACUUUUCUUUGCCAUUGAUAAGUUGAGGCAUUAUAUGCAGGCCUUCACGGUUCAUCUAGUGGCAAAAGCAGACCCUAUAAAGUAUGUUCUAUCCAGGCCAAUCAUCGCUGGACGCUUAGCCAAAUGGGCGGUUCUACUCCAACAAUAUGACAUUGUCUAUAUUCCCCAAAAGGCGAUAAAAGGACAAGCGCUAGCAGACUUUUUAGCAGACCACCCAAUUCCUUCGGAUUGGAAGUUAUGUGAUGACCUACCAGACGAUGAGGUUUUCUUCACAGAAGUUAUGGAACCUUGGACUAUGUACUUCGAUGGUGCAGCUCGAAGAAGUGGUGCGGGGGCAGGCAUUGUCCUCAUUUCUCCUGAGAAGCAUAUGUUGCCUUAUAGCUUUGCACUUUCCGAAUUGUGUUCAAACAAUGUGGCUGAAUAUCAGGCUUUGAUAAUUGGCCUUCAAAUAGCAUUAGAAAUCGGAGUGUCAUUCAUAGAGGUCUAUGGUGAUUCAAAAUUGAUAAUCAAUCAACUCUCGCUUCAAUAUGACGUGAAACAUGAAGACUUGAAGCCAUAUUUUGCUUAUGCUCGACAAUUGAUGGAAAAGUUUGAUAAUGUGAUGUUAGAACAUGUCCCUAGAGUAGAAAAUAAGAGAGCGGAUGCAUUGGCAAAUUUAGCCACGGCCUUGACCAUGCCAGAUGAUGUAACUCUGAACAUACCACUUUGUCAACGAUGGAUUAUACCCCAGUUAGGCCUGAAUGUCAGGAAGUGAACAUGGCAACAUCCUAUUUGAUUGAUGAAGAAGAUUGGCGUCAACCCAUCAUAGAGUAUCUUGAACAUGGAAAGCUUCCAAAGGAUUCUCGUCAUAAAAUUGAGAUACGAAGAAGGGCAGCACACUUCAUUUAUUACAAGGGAACUUUAUAUCGCCGUUCUCUUGAAGGGCUCUUCCUUCGAUGUCUCGGAAAGGAAGAUUCGGUAAAAGCUCUAAAGGAAGUACAUGCAGGUGUUUGUGGAGCACAUCAAUCGGGACCAAAGCUUCAAUUCCAGCUAAGAAGAAUGGGCUACUACUGGCCUAAGAUGAUCCAAGAUUCAAUAGACUAUGUGAAGAAGUGUGAGCCUUGUCAAUACCAUGCAAACUUCAUACACCAACCUCCAGAACCUCUUCAUCCAACUGUGGCUUCUUGGCCUUUUGAGGCUUGGGGACUCGAUCUGGUUGGCCCCAUUACACCAAAAUCAUCAGCAGGACAUUCUUAUAUCCUAGCAGCAACAGACUAUUUUUCAAGGUGGGCUGAGGCCAUUUCAUUGAGAGAAGCCAAGAAGGAGAACGUGGCAGACUUUAUUCGAACACACAUCAUCUAUCGAUACGGUAUUCCACAUCGAAUCGUGACGGAUAAUGGAAAGCAAUUCUCCAAUAGUAUGAUGGACAAGUUAUGUGAAAAAUUCAAAUUCAAGCAAUAUAAGUCAUCCAUGUACAACGCAGCUGCGAAUGGACUAGCAGAAGCAUUCAACAAAACAUUGUGUAAUCUUUUAAAGAAAAUUGUCUCCAAGUCAAAGAGGGAUUGGCAAGAAAAGAUCGGCGAGGCAUUAUGGGCUUAUCGACGACUCAUCGCACCCCUACAGGGGUUACACCAUAUUCGCUUGUUUACGGUGUGGAGGCUGUCCUUCCUCUCGAAAGGGAAAUUCCGUCACUAAGAAUGCAGUACAAGAGGGAUUGACUACCGAAAGAUAAGUGAAGUUACUCUUCAAGAAUUAGAAGCACUUGACGAAAAGCGUUAGAGGCUCAGCAAGCAUUGGAAUGUUAUAAGCGAGAAUGUCCAAGCUUUUGAUAAACACGUUAAACCUCGCUCCUUUCAAGUCGGUGAUCUAGUGCUUGCCGUAAGGAGACCGAUCAUCACAACAAGCAUACAGGAAAUAAGUUCACACCUAAAUGGAUGGACUUACAUUGUUAAAGAAGUUUAUACAAAUGGCGCAUACAAGAUCGUGAUCAAGACGGACUACGAAUUGGCCCAAUCAAUGUAAAUUUCUUAAAAAAAUUUAUGCUUAAUUUUGUUAAAAAAAAAAAAAAAGUUGAACUACGUUAUGACUUGAUCCCUAUGUUAUAAAGGGUACGUAGGCAGCUUAAGGAAAACCUUAAGCCCAGUCCAGCAAAAAAAAAGUUGAACUACGUUAUGACUUGAUCCCUAUUAUAAAGGGUACGUAGGCAGCUUAAGGAAAACCUUAAGCCAGUCCAGCAAAAAAAAAGUUGAACUACGUUAUGACUUGAUCCUAUGUUAUAAAGGGUACGUAGGCAGCUUAAGGAAAACCUUAAGCCCAGUCCAGCAAAAAAAAAUUGAACUACGUUAUGACUUGAUCCCUAUAUAUAAGGGUACGUAGGCAGCUUAAGGAAAACCUUAAGCCCAGUCCAGCAAAAAAAAAUUGAACUACGUUAUGACUUGAUCCCUAUUAUAAAGGGUACGUAGGCAGCUUAAGGAAAACCUUAAGCCCAGUCCAGCAAAAAAAAAUUGAACUACGUUAUGACUGAUCCCUAAUUACAAAGGUACGUAGGCAGCUUAAGGAAAACCUAAGCCCAGUCCAGCAAAAAAGAACUACGUUAGACUUGAUCCCUACUUAUAAAGGGUACGUAGCAACUUAAAGAAAACUUUAAGUUCAGUCCACCAUUAUAAAAAAAAAAAAAAAAAAAACCUUGAACUACGUCGUGAGUUAAUUCUUUUCUUCAAAGGGUGUUCAUCUCCACUAAGAAAUCAUAACAAAUUGGGGGCAAAUCCCUAAAUUCAAGAUGUUCAUCUUUAGUAACAAUGAGAUGAAAUAAAUUGAAGAUGUACAAACUCCGUGCAAAGACUAUGUACAAGUUGAGUGCAUGUAAAAAGAAAAAAAAAAAGAGAAUCUCAAAAUCAAGCUCAAAGGCAUCAUUAAUGAUCCCUCAAAUUCAAGCAUAAAAGUUUCAUUGAUGAUUCCUUAUAUUCAAGUUUGAAGGCUUCAUCGAUGCUGCAGCUCCAGCUCUUUGAGAGGAUAACGAUGGUACAACUUUGAUAGGACGACGAUCGGGCAGCUCUGCCUUCGCCUCUCCAAGAUGAAAACGACAGUGUAACAUCGUUUCUGCCUCUUGAAGAAGAUGCAUGCAAUGCUAAAGCUUUAACCUCUGCUUCAUCUUCAGCUUAUUGCAACGAAGAGGAUUCAUCUUCAUCUUCUUCUAAGUUUGCAAUCGAAGAUGAUUCAUCUUCAUCUGCUCUAAGGUUCGCAAGUGAGAGGAUUCAUCUUUGUCUUCCUCCAUGUGUUACAACCGAGAUGAUUCAUCUCAUCUUCACCUAGGAGUCGCAAUCAAGAAGAUUCAUUUUCAUCUUCUCUCAGGUGUAACAACCGAAGAUGAUUCAUCUUCAUCUGCUCUAAGGUGUCGCAAGUGAGAGGAUUCAUCUUUGUCUUCUCCUAUGUGUUGCAACCGAGAGGAUUCAUCUUCAUCUUCUCCUAAGAAUUGCAACUGAGAAGAUUCACCUUCAUCUUCUUCUAGGUGCUACAACCGAGAGGAUUCAUUUUCAUCUUCUCAUUGGAAUUGCAACUGAGAAGAUUCAUCUUCAUCUUCUCCUAAGAGUCGCAACGAGAAGAUUCACCUUCAUCUUCUUUCAGGUGUCGCAACCAAAGAAGAUUCAUCUUCAUCUUCUUAGGAGUUGCAACCAAAGAGAAUUCAUCUUCAUCUUCUUUCAAUAUCGUAGCCGGAAGGAUUCACCUUCAUCUUCUUCUAGGUGCUACAAUCAAAGAUGAUUCAUCUUCAUCUUCUCUUAUAUGUCAUAGCUGAGAAGAUUCAUCUUCAUCUUCUCCAGGUGCUGCAAUCGAAAAUGAUUCAUCUUCUCUCAUAUGUCAUACCGAGAGAUUCAUCUUCAUCUUCUCCCAUAUGUCAUAGCCGAGAGAUUUAUCUUCAUCUUCUCCCAGGUGCUGCAAUUGAAUAGGAUUCAUCUUCAUCUCCUCCCAUAUGUCAUAGUCGAGAGGAUUCAUCUUCAUCUUCUCUCAUAUGUCAUAGCUGAGAGGAUUCAUCUUCAUCUUCUUCCAAGUGCUGCAACUGAAGAGAAUUCAUCUUCAUCUCCUUUCAUAUGUCAUAGCCGAGAGGAUUCAUCUUCAUCUUCUCUCAUAUGUCAUAGCUGAGAGGAUUCAUCUUCAUCUUCUUCCAAGUGCUGCAACUGAAGAGAAUUCAUCUUCAUCUCCUCCCAUAUGUCAUAGCCGAGAGGAUUCAUCUUCAUCUUCUCCUAUAUGUCGUAGCUGAGAGUAUUCAUCUUUAUCAUCUAACAGGUGUCGCAACCCGGCCGAUGGAAUUCAUUUUCAUCAGCUCUAAGGUGUCGCAAGCUAGAUGAUUCAUCUUCAUCUUCUCCCUAGUACCACAACCAAGAAAGAAAGAAAAAAAAAGGAGAAGCAAGAAGAAGAAAGAAGAAAAUGAUGAAGAAGAAAGAAGGAAGAAGGAAAAAAAAAAAAAAAAAAAAAAAAAAAAAAAACAAAAACAAAAAGAAAGAAAAACAAAAAAAAAACAAAAGAAAGAAGAAGAAGAAAACAAAAAAAAGAAGCAAAAGAAGAAAAAACAAAAAGAAAGAAGAAUAAGAAGAAGAAGAAAAAAAAAAAACGAAGAAGCUCAAUUGGUGAUAACGAAGAUCGAAGCCCGACGAUGACAGAGUCGAUCUCUCCUACUAGGGCGAUAGAUCUGACGGCAAAAGCCCGAUCGUCCCUAGAAGAAGCUCAACAAAGUCAUUUAUGCAAACGAAGAUUGAAGCCCGACGAUGACAGAGUCGAUCUCUCCUACUAGGGCGAUAGAUCUGACGGCAAAAGCCCGAUCGUCCCUAGAAGAAGCUCAACAAAGUCAUUUCUGCAAACGAAGAUUGAAGCCCGACGAUGACAGAGUCGAUCUCUCCUACUAGGGCGAUAGAUCUGACGGCAAAAGCCCGAUCGUCCCUAGAAGAAGCUCAACAAAGUCAUUUCUGCAAACGAAGAUCGAAGCCCGACGAUGACAGAGUCGAUCUCUCCUACUAGGGCGAUAGAUCUGACGGCAAAAGCCCGAUCGUCCCUAGAAGAAGCUCAACAAAGUCAUUUCUGCAAACGAAGAUUGAAGCCCGACGAUGACAGAGUCGAUCUCUCCAACUAGGGCGAUAGAUCUGACGGCAAAAGCCCGAUCGUCCCUAGAAGAAGCUCAACAAAGUCAUUUCUGCAAACGAAGAUCGAAGCCCGACGAUGACAGAGUCGAUCUCUCCUACUAGGGCGAUAGAUCUGACGGCAGAAGCCCGAUCGUCCCUAGAAGAAGCUCGACAAAGUCAUUCCUGCAAAAAAAAAAAAAAAAAAAAACAAAACAAAAAUACAAAAAAAAAAAACAAACAAAAAAACAAAACAAAACAGAAAAAAAAAAACACACACACACACACAAAAAAAAAAAAAAAAAAAAAAGAGAAAGGGAGAAGAAAAGUUUUCUAUACCUUUCUGCCGAUUUGAUGAGGAAUAAGCGUUGGAUGAGGUAUAAGUGAGUAGGGUAUGAGUCUAUUUAUAAGCCCAACAAAUCCAAUUCCUAAAAGGAUUAGGAAUGAUAUUUAAUUAUUUUUUUAAAAAAAAACAAAUCCAAUUCCUAAAAGGAAUAGGAAUGAUUUUUAAAAAAUAUAUAUAUAUAAAGAAAAGAUAAUCCAAUUAUCUUAUUUUAUUUUAAAUUAUUUCUUUUUUUUGGAUAAAUCUCAAGUUUAACUUUUAUUGAGAUAUUUAAAAUAUUUAAAAAUUUCAACAUUUUUAAAAAUAUAUACAUAUAUAUAUAAAUAUUCUCAAUUUCAAAAUUCAAGUUAAAUUAACUUGCAUAUAUGACCUCCUUUUUAUCAUGAAUUUAAAUCGGAGCCAUAAAUCCAACUUUACCUAAGAUUGAGGACCUGAUUUUUUUAUCUCAAAUUAAAAUUGGUCAUUCCAAAUUCUUAUGCAUCCCCAAGAUAAAUUAAGGUACGGUAGAAACCUUAUCCUUAUUUCAAAAUUAAAAUUUUGGUUAUAUUCCAAAUUUUACUUUAAAAAAAAAAAAUCAUCAUAUUAAUUUUUUUUCCCCUCAAAUAAAAUUAAGUGGGAAAUAAAACUUUGAAUUUUUUUUAAGGUUUGGCCAUAUUCCAACCCUUAUUUUAAAUUUAAAUCAAACUCACGUACUAAAUUCAUAGUUUGAUUAAUUUGAUAUGCUGAAUUGAGUAAAAAAAAAAAAAAAAAAAGGCUCGUACUUUGACUUCAAAUUUAUCUUUUCCGAGAUUCAUUCACCCAUAUACGUGCAUAAAUCUCGAAAAGGGGCAUUUGUUGAAUAAGAAAUUUUGAGACCAAUCACAAGUUGCCACAUCAUUUAUUAAGUUAAUGAUGAAAAGUACAAAUAAUUAAAUUUGGGACUAAUUAAAAUUGACACAUGCCCCAAAUUAAAGAGUUAAAAUAAAUAAAUUGGUCAUUCUAAUAAUGCCACAUGUUUUCAUAUUAAUCGUUGGAUUAAGUUAAUCAUUUUAGUUCAAUUAAGCCAAAAAAAAUAAGCUUAAUUGAGCCCAAAGACUAAAUAUAACCUAAGUCCAUAUGGUUGAGCCCAUGGGUCUGGUCCAUGGACCAACCAAGUUCAAACCCAUAAAGCCCACCAGUGAACUCUAUAAAUAGAGGAAUUCUCCUCAUUUGCAGGGGUUGGAAAAUUUUGACUCUAGAAGAUCUAGAGAGAAUUCUUCCAAAAGCUAGAAGACUCCCUAACUUCUGAAGUUGACCACCCUCGAAGAUUGAAGCUGUUUUGAAGAUACAAACUUUCUUCCAAGACUCCAACUUCAAGAACAUCACGUGCUCCGCUUCCUCAAAUCAAGCGUAAGCAUUCAACCAACUUGAAGAACAUCACGUGCUCCGCUUCUCCAAAUCAAGCGUAGACGUUCAACAAACUUCAAGAACAUCACGUGCUCCGCUUCUCCAAAUCAAGCGUAGACGUUCAACAAACUUCAAGAACAUCACGUGCUCCGCUUCUCAAAUCAAGCGUAGAUUCAACAAACUUCAAGAACAUCACGUGCUCCGCUUCUCCAAAUCAAGCGUAGACGUUCAACAAACUUCAAGAACGUGCUCCGCUUCUCCAAAUCAAGCGUAGACGUUCAACAAACUUCAAGAACAUCACGUGCUCCGCUUCCUCCAAAUCAAGCGUAGACAUACAGUUGAGAGAGAAUCAGAGGAUCAAAUUCUAGAGAUUGAACCGCAUCGCAUCAAAUCAACAAAAAUACAACAUCAACCUAAGUUUAAGUCCACGAAUUAAAUUUCUCUGGAAAUCUCGUGCGAACAAUGCGUUUUUAUCAAUUUUUUGAAAUAAUAAAUAAAAUGCUACUUUUUCCAGCUACUCCAUUGGUAACAUUUAAAAACAAUUUUAUGUUUUAAUUUUCAUAAUUAUGAAAGGCAUCAAACAAAUAAUUUAUUAUCCUUCUUCCAUUGUAUAUUAACCAAUUUGGUAGAUUUAGAUGUAAAUUAUACGUAGGUAGGAUGCUCUAUGUUCAAAUACUUAGUCUUUACUCAAUUAUUUAUUAAGAGCAAUGCAUUAAUACAUUAACGAUGAAUUGAAAUGAUAAAUUUAGAAACAAUUUUAUAAUACAAAUUGGAUCUAAGAUCUAGAACACAAAAUUUCUUGAUCUUCAAUCCACAUAUUGCAAUUGAGUUAAGCUCUUCAAAAUUUAAAAAAUCAUAUAUUUUUUAAACCUCUCUUGAGUAAUUCACACUAAAAAAACCAAGGAGACUUGGAGGAUUCCAAUAGUUUAUAACAAACUUUUAUACAAAUUUGAAGCAAGGGAGACUUGGAGGAUUCCGAUAGUUUAUAACAAACUUUUAAUAAUAUAAAGUUAAGAUUUGAAUUAAAAAUGGGCAGUAGACUCGAAAAAUCUUAAAUAACUUUUGAAGAUCUAUAAGAUUAAAAAUGAAGAGUAUCGAUUUGGUUUUUAAAAAUUAAGUUUAUAAAUACUACUUUAUUCGUAAAUUUAUUUAUUUUAUCCAACUCAAAUUUAGGUAAGAUUGUGUUUUUUUAAAAAUUUAUUUUUGUUUAAAAUUUUGAUUAAGAAUAUGAGAACUUUUCUAAAAAUGUAAAAAGUAUACUCUAUGAUUAAUUUUUUCAGAAAUAGAAACUAAAAUAAAAAGUAAUUUAUUUUAGAAAAUAAAAACAAAUUAUUUGAAAAACAAAUAUUUUUCUGAGGUCAAUGAUCAAAAUUUGUGAUUAAAUCUUUUUUUUAGGUUAAAAACCCUUUGAAAAUGAAUGGUCAAUUAUACCCCCGGAUCUUCGUCGUCGUUGGGUUUAACUCAAUUUCCCGUUUCUCGUCAGAACUGCAAACUGAAGACGGAACCCGCGAAUUCGUUGCCGAACAAAGAUCUUCAGUGCGAGCUUCAGUCUAGACAUGGGUACUAGAGAAGUUUACGAACAGAAGCUAAGAAGAGGCAAUCUCUACCAUGAACCCACUAUGAAUCCAGGCUCGGAUCGCCUCGUUGCCCUCGCUGUUUUUCUCUUCUUAAACCCGACCCUGUAUUUGUCUCUUCUUCUUCUUCUAUUAAGCACCUUCUACUACUUAAGUUUUUUAGUUUUGGGAUUCAUGUUUGAGUUUUACUGUGUUUUGAUUCAGGAUAAAAGUGAAUGGGCCAUCAAUCCUGUUCUCCACGGUGUUACUGCUGUGGUGAGUUGCCAUCGUUCCGAUCUUCGAUUUUAUUUGCUUUGAGAACACAUAAUUUAAUGGUGCUUCUAGGUUUUUUGAUCGGUAGAGUUAUAAUUGAACUCUAUGUUGUGUUUGUUUAAUUGGUUCGUCUUGAGUAGUUCAUGAACGUUUGUUGAUCGAUGAUUUAAGAGUUUAAUUCAAUUCAGUUCUUGCUAUUAGCAAUUGGAGUAUUCUAUCUAACUCAAUUCAUGGUUUUCAAGGGACGUAAAAAAUUGUAGGAAUGAAGUUCGUGGUUUUCUUUUGGAAAAAUCUUUAUUUCUUCGCUAAUUCAAAAAGAAGGUUUAUGAGAUAUUUAUUCUUAUUUAAUAAUUUUUUUUAAUUAUUAAUUAAGAAAAAAUAGCUAAAUACUCACCUUUGAGUGAAUUGUCAGAGAAUUUAAAUGAAGGUAAGAAUGACAAUCCAAUGAUAAAAUUUAACCUUCCAAAUUUAGUGAGUACUUGAACUUGUCUAACAAUAGUUAAAUUAUAGAUCUAGAACCUAAAAACUAUUUGGAAAAUUAUCGAAACAUCAAUUUUUUUUUUAAAAUGACUUAAUUUUUGUAUCAAAUACUUAAAAAUAUAUUCAAAACACAGUAUUGUGUUUCAAUUAAAUUAAAAUUAAACUCUACACCAUGAUAAUAAUUUUUUUGACCAUUUUUAUUUUCUGAGGAAAAACUACAAAAAUAGUUAUAAAUGUAGCCAUUAGAUUUAAAAUAAUUAAGUUUAUAAUAAUAUAAUUUUUAAAAAUAUAACAUAAUAUGUUAAUUCGAAAUGAUAGUAAUCAAAUAUUAGUCACUAUAUUUAUGAUUUUUUAAAAAUAUAGUUAUAUGACUAUUCGUAAAUUUGCUAACAGAUUACAUUUUGUGCUUUCUAUCUGGGCCCAGUUUAAUUUAUCCGGCCCAUUAAAGAAGCCAAUAAAAAACCUAGCCCUCGAAUUAGGGUUUCUUCAUUUUGUGAGAGAGUGUGAGAGAAAGUUCCUGCUCCAAUCAUGCCGGCCGGCCAUGGACUUCGAUCACGUACCAGAGACCUCUUCGCCAGGCCUUUCAGGAAGAAGGGUUACAUUGCUUUGACUACCUACUUGAGGACGUACAAAAUCGGUGAUUAUGUGGAUAUCAAGGUGAACGGCGCCGUCCACAAGGGUAUGCCUCAUAAAUUUUACCAUGGUCGCACAGGUCAGGUAUGGAAUGUCACAAAGCGCGCCAUCGGUGUCGAGAUCAACAAACAGGUUCGGGAUUCUUUUUUAAAAUCUGUUAUAGUUUUUAGAAUGUAUAUGAAUCUGGUGAUUUAGGGUAAUAGAUUGUGUUUGGUUUUGAUAGAAUCUUAAUUAGUUUUCGGACUCUGUUUUUCUUAUUAAACUUGUGAAUCUUAAUGUAUGUUCUAGUUUGAUGGGUUCUGGAAU
rnacentral:lncRNA from 1 species